UCUAGUACAUUUUUUUGCAUUGCAGGAAAAUAGACGUACAAACUAAACACCUUAAUUAAAUUAGACAUAAAAACUGCACUAAAGAUAACAAACACACUUGCAGAGCUCUCGAGAAUAAAAACCAACCUGCUAGACAAAAAUGGCAAAUAUACAAAAAUAUGUAACCUUUGAGAAAAACGCCGGUCAGAAGAAAAGUAAAUUUCAAACACGAUCAAAAAACUAUACAAAAAUAGAACAUUCAGCUGCUAAAGCACAAGUACAAUCAAACAAGUAAGCCAAAGAUGCGAUGAAAUAACACAACAGUGGGAAAAGUAAUUCCGUUGUAGCCUGGAAAAACACUAGUGUACUAUAAAGCACAGAAAGGGGUACACAACAGCUCCCAAAGGGCAUGGUGUAAACAAACCCCGACAUCUAUCUAGCAACUUUAUUAUACUGGCAUAUUUGUGUGCAAAACGGGAUAUGUUUACAACAAAAUGUGUUGGUUUACUGUACGACAAUUAGUAUGAUUAAGAAAUUACAUUUUUUUGUUUACAA